UACGAAGGGGGCUAGCGUUGUUCGGAAUUACUGGGCGUAAAGCGCACGUAGGCGGACAUUUAAGUCAGGGGUGAAAUCCCGGAGCUCAACUCCGGAACUGCCUUUGAUACUGGGUGUCUUGAGUGUGGAAGAGGUGAGUGGAAUUCCGAGUGUAGAGGUGAAAUUCGUAGAUAUUCGGAGGAACACCAGUGGCGAAGGCGGCUCACUGGUCCAUUACUGACGCUGAGGUGCGAAAGCGUGGGGAGCGAACAGG
rnacentral:rRNA from 1 species